rnacentral:rRNA from 1 species
UACGUAGGGGGCAAGCGUUGUCCGGAAUCAUUGGGCGUAAAGCGCGUGUAGGCGGCUUGAUACGUCCGUUCUGAAAGCCCGGGGCUCAACCCCGGGAGGCGGAUGGAUACUGUCAAGCUUGAGUCCGGAAGAGGCGAGUGGAAUUCCCGGUGUAGCGGUGAAAUGCGCAGAUAUCGGGAGGAACACCAAUGGCGAAGGCAGCUCGCUGGGACGUGACUGACGCUGAGACGCGAAAGCGUGGGGAGCAAACAGG